AUGAAAAUCUCAAGGUGGAAAUGUUGUGGGAUAGACGAUCCCGCGACAGUUCGUGAGCUCCGCGACCUUGUGGAGAUCAGAUCGCCUACUAUCCUUAGUUUAGUUGAAACUCAAUUACACAAGAGUCAUGUCGAAGGUCUUUGUUUUUAUUUAGGUUAUGAUUUUAGUUUCGGAGUUGGUAGCAGUUGUCAUAGUGGUGGUAUUUGUAUCUUUUGGAAGAAUUAUGUGGAUGCUGCAAUAAAGAACUAUUUAGAGCAUCACGUGGAUGCUUGGUUCUAG
rnacentral:rRNA from 1 species